CACGUAGGGCGCAAGCGUUGUCCGGAAUUAUUGGGCGUAAAGAGCUCGUAGGUGGUUUGUUACGUCUGCUGUGAAAACCUAGGGCUUAACCCUGGGCUUGCAGUGGAUACGGGCAGACUAGAGGUAGGUAGGGGAGAAUGGAAUUCCUGGUGUAGCGGUGAAAUGCGCAGAUAUCGGGAAGAACACCCGUGGCGAAGGCGGCUCUCUGGGACGGUACUGACGCUGAGACGCGAAAGCGUGGGGAGCGAACAGG
rnacentral:rRNA from 1 species